rnacentral:lncRNA from 1 species
UUCUUGACUCUCCUUCAUAAUUUCACAUCUUUUGAUUAAGUUUUGAAUCCAUUCACUUAACAUGAAUAAUUCAAUUAUUUGUAUUUGACUAUGACCAUUAUGGUUUAAGUCAAUUGUCGAGUUAAUGGAAUAUGAACCAUAUUUGAUGUUGGUUCAAGUUAUGAGGGAAGUGAAAUCUCAAACUAUUUUGAAAAACUUGAAAAAUUGAGAU